UCCCUAGUAGUCUAGCGGCUAAAGAUAACGCGCUCUCACCGCUGUGGCCUGUGUUCGAUUCUUGGGCAGGGAA